rnacentral:rRNA from 1 species
GACGAACGCUGGCGGCACGCCUAACACAUGCCAGUCGAACGGACUUACAAGAGCUUGCUUUUUUAAGUUAGUGGCGGACGGGUGAGUAACACGUGAGCAACCUGCCUCUGAGAGGGGGAUAGCUUCUGGAAACGGAUGGUAAUACCCCAUAAAAUAUAAAUAUCGCAUGAUAGAUAUAUCAAAGAAAUUCGCUCAGAGAUGGGCUCGCGUCUGAUUAGAUAGUUGGUGAGGUAACGGCUCACCAAGUCGACGAUCAGUAGCCGGACUGAGAGGUUGAACGGCCACAUUGGGACUGAGACACGGCCCAGACUCCUACGGGAGGCAGCAGUGGGGAAUAUUGCACAAUGGAGGGAACUCUGAUGCAGCGAUGCCGCGUGGAGGAAGAAGGUUUUCGGAUUGUAAACUCCUUUUAUCAGGGACGAUAAUGACGGUACCUGAAGAAAAAGCGCCGGCUAACUACGUG